UACGUAGGGUGCGAGCGUUGUCCGGAAUUACUGGGCGUAAAGAGUUCGUAGGCGGUUUGUCGCGUCUGCCGUGAAAGUCCGGGGCUCAACUCCGGAUCUGCGGUGGGUACGGGCAGACUAGAGUGAUGUAGGGGAGACUGGAAUUCCUGGUGUAGCGGUGAAAUGCGCAGAUAUCAGGAGGAACACCGAUGGCGAAGGCAGAUCUCUGGGCCGUAACUGACGCUGAGGAGCGAAAGCAUGGGGGAGCGAACAGG
rnacentral:rRNA from 1 species